UACGUAGGGACCAAGCGUUGUUCGGAUUUACUGGGCGUAAAGGGCGCGUAGGCGGCGUGGUAAGUCACUUGUGAAAUCUCUGAGCUUAACUCAGAACGGCCAAGUGAUACUGCUGUGCUAGAGUGCAGAAGGGGCAAUCGGAAUUCUUGGUGUAGCGGUGAAAUGCGUAGAUAUCAAGAGGAACACCUGAGGUGAAGACGGGUUGCUGGGCUGACACUGACGCUGAGGCGCGAAAGCUGGGGGGAGCAAACAGG
rnacentral:rRNA from 1 species